GAUGAACGCUAGCUACAGGCUUAACACAUGCAAGUCGAGGGGCAGCAUGGUCUUAGCUUGCUAAGGCCGAUGGCGACCGGCGCACGGGUGAGUAACACGUAUCCAACCUGCCGUCUACUCUUGGACAGCCUUCUGAAAGGAAGAUUAAUACAAGAUGGCAUCAUGAGUCCGCAUGUUCACAUGAUUAAAGGUAUUCCGGUAGACGAUGGGGAUGCGUUCCAUUAGAUAGUAGGCGGGGUAACGGCCCACCUAGCCUGCGAUGGAUAGGGGUUCUGAGAGGAAGGUCCCCCCACAUUGGAACUGAGACACGGUCCAAACGUCCUACGGGAGGCAGCAGUGAGGAAUAUUGGUCAAUGGGCGAGAGCCUGAACCAGCCAAGUAGCGGUGAAGGAUGAAGGUCCUACGGAUUGUAAACUUCUUUUAUACGGGAAUAAGUUCCUACGUGUAGGAUUUUGUAUGUACCGUAUGAAUAAGCAUCGGCUAACUCCGUGCC
rnacentral:rRNA from 1 species